rnacentral:rRNA from 1 species
UAAGGAAUAUUGCUCAAUGGGAGAAAUCCUGAAGCAGCAACGCCGCGUGGAGGAUGAAGGGUCUAUGACUUGUAAACUCCUGUAAAGAAGGAAAAAAUUCCCAUUUGAUGGGAGAUGAUGGUACUUCUGGAGUAAGCUCCGGCUAACUACGUGCCAGCAGCCGCGGUAAUACGUAGGGGGCAAGCGUUGUCCGGAUUUACUGGGUGUAAAGGGUGCUCAGGCGGAUUUGUAAGUCAGAGGUGAAAUCUUACAGCUUAACUGUGAAACUGCCUUUGAUACUGCAAGCCUAGAGUAUGGAAGAGAGUGAUGGAAUAUCUGGUGUAGCAGUGAAAUGCGUAGAUAUCAGAUAGAACACCAAUGGCGAAGGCAGUCACUUGGUCCAUUACUGACGCUAAAGCACGAAAGCGUGGGUAGCAAACA